ACACGGGUGCCAGAUGAGAUGGGUUGGUUUUAAGCAUCAAAUAUGGGGAUUUUCUCCCCGUGUG
rnacentral:tRNA from 1 species